CCUACGGGAGGCAGCAGUGAGGAAUAGUGGUCAAUGGGCGCGAGCCUGAACCAGCCAAGUAGCGUGAAGGAUGACUGCCCUACGGGUUGUAAACUUCUUUUAUAAAGGAAUAAAGUGAGGCACGUGUGCCUUUUUGUAUGUACUUUAUGAAUAAGGAUCGGCUAACUCCGUGCCAGCAGCCGCGGUAAUACGGAGGAUCCGAGCGUUAUCCGGAUUUAUUGGGUUUAAAGGGAGCGUAGAUGGGUUGUUAAGUCAGUUUUGAAAGUUUGCGGCUCAACCAUAAAAUUGCAAUUGAUACGGGCAGUCUUGAGUACAGUUGCGGUAGGCGGAAUUCGUGGUGUAGCGGUGAACUUCUUCGCUCUCAC
rnacentral:rRNA from 1 species